UUACGGCCACACGUGAUUGAAACACUAGUUCCCGUACGAUCAUCGAAGGUAAGCAACGUUGAGUUUGGUCAGCACCGAGAUGGAUGACUGCCUGGGAAAUCAAGUGCUGUAAU